rnacentral:lncRNA from 1 species
CAUUAGUGAUCAAUUGUCAGUUUUUUUUUUGGUACAAAGGAAAUUAUAAAAAGACAAAAGCUAAGAUAAGGAAGAUAACAGAAAAAACAAAAGUAUUAUAGUUCAACACAAGGAAUUUCAAAAUCAAAGCAUAUAAAAUAUUCGGUUUCCAAGUUUCGGUUGUUGCGCCAGCCUUAGUUUCCUACUUUCAGUCAGGACAUUCAACAAACACGUUGCAUACCCUUAAACAGUACCAAAAACUAAAUGACCUGAAUGGAAAUCAGUCUUUAUCCUCUCGAAUAAUAUGAUCAGAUGAGGAAAGCAAUGACGAAUCAGGGGUACCCGCGGCAUUAUGCUGUUGUGGUUCAGCGUUCCCUAGUGUUGUUUCCAUGUUCCUUAUGCUGUUCCUCAUCACAUUUGCAACUAGUACUGCGAAAUAAUAAAAAAUGGGUCAAAUAAAUAUAAUUAUGGGAUGAGUGUAUGAGAAUUAAUGGCAUAAAAAUUUAAUGGGAAAUGAAAGAAAGAAAGGUACUAGCAGCUGUUCCAAAGGUCCAAAUCCAAAGGAUCUUCAAACCAGGGCUCUUAUCUUUGCGCAUGUUGAAGUUUAGAUAUGCACUAUGCUCAACGAUCUCGGAAAAUCAGAGAGAGUACCAAGCUUUAGCUGCACUAAGAUUUUCCGUAGUAUAACAAUUAGACGCCUUGAAGUUAAGAGUAUUAUGUUGUUAUUUGAACUAGAAUGUAUGAGUUAAGAGAAAAAAGAAUGUAU